UACGUAGGGUGCAAGCGUUGUCCGGAAUUAUUGGGCGUAAAGGGCUCGUAGGCGGUCUGUCGCGUCGGGAGUGAAAACUCAGGGCUUAACCCUGAGCCUGCUUCCGAUACGGGCAGACUAGAGGUAUGCAGGGGAGAAUGGAAUUCCUGGUGUAGCGGUGAAAUGCGCAGAUAUCAGGAGGAACACCAGUGGCGAAGGCGGUUCUCUGGGCAUUACCUGACGCUGAGGAGCGAAAGCGUGGGGAGCGAACAGG
rnacentral:rRNA from 1 species